CCUAGGGGUGGCAGCAGUGAGGAAUAUUGGUCAAUGGACGAGAGUCUGAACCAGCCAAGUAGCGUGAAGGAUGACUGCCCUAUGGGUUGUAAACCUCUUUUAUAUGGGAAUAAAAUGUUCCACGUGUGGGAUUUUGUAUGUACCUUAUGAAUAAGGAUCGGCUAACUCCGUGCCAGCAGCCGCGGUAAUACGGAGGAUCCGAGCGUUAUCCGGAUUUAUUGGGUUUAAAGGGAGCGUAGGCGGUUUUUUAAGUAAGUGGUUAAAGGUUGGGGCUACACCUUGAAUUGCCAUUUAUACUGUAAGACUCGAGUGCAGGCGGGGUAGGCGGAAUACGUAGAGUAGCGGUGGAAUGCGUAGAUAUAAGGUAGAACACCAGUGGCGAAGGCAGGUUACUAGACUGUGACUGACGCUGAGGCACGAGAGCGUGGGUAGCGAACAGGAUUAGAUACCCGAGUAGUC
rnacentral:rRNA from 1 species